rnacentral:rRNA from 1 species
AUUGAACGCUGGCGGCAGGCCUAACACAUGCAAGUCGAGCGGAUGAAGGGAGCUUGCUCCUGGAUUCAGCGGCGGACGGGUGAGUAAUGCCUAGGAAUCUGCCUGGUAGUGGGGGAUAACGUCCGGAAACGGGCGCUAAUACCGCAUACGUCCUGAGGGAGAAAGUGGGGGAUCUUCGGACCUCACGCUAUCAGAUGAGCCUAGGUCGGAUUAGCUAGUUGGUGGGGUAAAGGCCUACCAAGGCGACGAUCCGUAACUGGUCUGAGAGGAUGAUCAGUCACACUGGAACUGAGACACGGUCCAGACUACUACGGGAGGCAGCAGUGGGGAAUAUUGGACAAUGGGCGAAAGCCUGAUCCAGCCAUGCCGCAUGUGUGAAGAAGGUCUUCGGAUUGUAAAGCACUUUAAGUUGGGAGGAAGGGCAGUAAGUUAAUACCUUGCUGUUUUGACGGUACCAACAGAAUAAGCACCGGCUAACUUCGUG